rnacentral:lncRNA from 1 species
GCACGUCUACGGCCUGGGGGAGCAAAACAUUUAAAAGGUGAGUGGACCCAAAAACAAAGUUUUAAACAAAAAUAGCAUAAGAACAUACUAACCCCACUGUAAAAACAGUUAUACAAAACUAAUUCAUUCUUUUAAUCAUAUACAUACUGAACAUAUAUUUAUAAAUAUAUGUCAAUCAUACUCAUAAUCAUCUUUAAACUCUUAAAAGUACUGAAAUCAGUUAAAAACUAC